rnacentral:rRNA from 1 species
UAGGGAAUUUUCGUCAAUGGGGGCAACCCUGAACGAGCAAUGCCGCGUGAGCGAAGAAGGUCUUCGGAUUGUAAAGCUCUGUUGCCGGGGAAAAGGAAGGAAAGAGGAAUAGCUUUU